GAAGUUGAGGAGGUUUGGGAACGGCUGUGAAAUGAUCCGGAAGUUGUUGGGGCUUUGAUCCGAACAUUGGGGAGAAUCUCGGAGGCUGGUAGGAGCUACACUUAUUCAUGGCCGAUGAAGGAUUUGCUGUGAAUGAGGGGGUUUGGGACUUAUCCGGAGCAGGGGAAUGUGCCGUGAAGCUCGGGAGGAUGAAGCUGCGGACGUCGAGCAGGGGAGAUGAAUUCUGUUUUGAGGCUGGGAUGAGGAUAAGGAAAUAGACUCGGUUGGUUGUGCUGCCGUUGGUUUGGGCUUAUCCAUGGGACGCGGAAGCUGAUCUUGCGAACGGGAAGAAGCUUGAGGUUGGUUGGUAGCGGGAUAAGGAUGGAAUUGAUCGGCAAGUGGUUGGGACAGAUUUCGGAAGAGAUUAAUCCAAAACAGGGGAAUGGAAGAUGGCUGGAUACUCUGUUCCGAUUUGGUUUUGGUUGGGAAGAAAUGAAGAUCUUGGAUGAUCGAAGCAUGGAGGAAGUGGACGAGAUAGGCUUAGAUGCUGGAUGCGAAGAUCAUGGGAUAUGGCCUGAUCUGUUCAAUGCGAAGGAGAAGCUUGGACGAUGGCUGGAAACGGAUGCGGAGGAGAUGAGGAUUUGAGUUUAUCAGGCUCUGUUUGAACUACUCACGGGAUGGGGAGAUGAGUUGGGAUUUAUUCCGAUGAAGGGAUAAGGAUGCUGGGAGAUUGAGCUAGAAGAAA
rnacentral:lncRNA from 1 species